GCCGGCGCCAGGGGAACGCAGGACGCUUGAGUCCCUUCGCGCCCCCAGCGCCGUCCGCGCCCCCCCGCCACAGACACGGCCUCAGAGGCCUCAAAGGGGCGGCGGUCCGGGCGGCCACCCGGGGCCACGUAACUCCUUGCUCUGAGCGCCCUCACCUUCGUCCCCAGAAGCCCAGGAUUCCUCUUGGGAAGACGCAGGAGGACGGCGCGGUUGUGAGAGAGGGCGCCAAAGGCGACGCGCCGGCGGCCAACUCCAGGCCAAGCCCAGUGCGUCGGCAGAAACUGGCCCUUUCACCCAGCACCGAACACAGAGCUGCCGGAGGAUUUGUGCCUGGAGGACUCAACGCCAGGGCGCCGCCUAGAGGUCGGUCGCGGCCUCGGCCUCACUCGCCCGCCACAACAGAGCUGCUUCCCAAGCCGCCGCCAGAAAUGGCCUAAACAAAACAAAACAAAUUUUAGCUUGGAUCAGGGACUGGGCUACAGUUCUCUGAAACCACCUCCCCUCCUCCCCAUAAUAAACCUCAGGAAGGGAGAGGA